AGAGUUUGAUCCUGGCUCAGAUUGAACGCUGGCGGCAUGCCUUACACAUGCAAGUCGAACGGUAGAGGGGCAACCCUUGAGAGUGGCGAACGGGUGAGUAAUAUAUCGGAACGUGCCCAGUCGUGGGGGAUAACGCAGCGAAAGCUGCGCUAAUACCGCAUACGAUCUAUGGAUGAAAGCGGGGGAUCGCAAGACCUCGCGCGAUUGGAGCGGCCGAUAUCAGAUUAGGUAGUUGGUGGGGUAAAAGCCCACCAAGCCGACGAUCUGUAGCUGGUCUGAGAGGACGACCAGCCACACUGGGACUGAGACACGGCCCAGACUCCUACGGGAGGCAGCAGUGGGGAAUUUUGGACAAUGGGCGCAAGCCUGAUCCAGCAAUGCCGCGUGCAGGACGAAGGCCUUCGGGUUGUAAACUGCUUUUGUACGGAGCGAAACGGUCUGGGUUAAUACCCUGGGCUAAUGACGGUACCGUAAGAAUAAGCACCGGCUAAGUACGUGCCAGCCGCCGCGGUAAUNC
rnacentral:rRNA from 1 species